rnacentral:lncRNA from 1 species
UUAGAAUAACACAAUAAUUGAUUCUCAUAUCACAAAAUAUCAAUCAAACUAUCAAUCUCACUUACUUACACCUUUACUCUCUCACCUUACUUACUAUAACACACCAAACAAAAAUUUAUUUCUUUCUAAUCGAUACUCUCACUUUCUCACCUAUCUUACUCUACCAUCUAUUUCUAUCUAAGUAUCGUAACUCUAUCUCCCUAUCAUACCCCCAAAUUCAAAUUAAGUUAUUCUCACCUCCUUCUUCGAUUUCUUAUUCCCUCCUGACUCCAUCUGCUCCACUAAUACUUUCCUGCAGUUACUCAUACAGUGAAAGAUUAAACUUUUUCUGAUAACUACACAGUUCAAUACUCUAUUCUUUCUUUCACCUUUUACACCAACAGUUGUUUCAAGAUUUUCUUCUACCCACCAAUCUACCUCCUUCUCGAUUUUACUCAGAACUUUACCCCUAUCUACCUCACUACUCCGAAUCCGUCGCUCUCCGUUUACUCGACCAUACUCUACAACACGAAAUUAUUAACUUAUCAACUUCCAUUCUUAAAUAACUUUAAAGAUUUAUAUCAAUCUUACCCGAUUUCUUACCCAAUCGACCACCGCCACAACCGGAACAACCACACCCAAAUCGACCACUGCCACAACCGGAACUACCACACCCCAAUCGACCACCGCCGCAGCCGGAACACGCAAACUCCAAUCGACUUGCGCCACAACCGGACCACGCACACCUACUCUACGCUCCUCCUUUCACCUCCACAAUUCCACAGAAUAUCACACCACCUAUCGAACACCGACCAAUCCCUAACACGGCCACUGUCUCACGCCUACUCCUUUCGCCUCCACAAAUCGCCACAUACUCUCCCGACACAACACAUAAACUCUUUCAACCUCUUUGGUUUGUUUUAGGUUAUUUUAUUUCUUACCAUUAAAACCAUUUUUUUCACUGAUUUUAUUUGGGGGAUUUGCACAACUAACCUUUUUAU